UGAAAGAAGGUCUUGCUGGCACUUAUAGAUGGAUCCGCGCUGCAUUAGCUAGUUGGUAAGGUAACGGCUUACCAAGGCAACGAUGCAUAGCCGACCUGAGAGGGUGAUCGGCCACACUGGAACUGAGACACGGUCCAGACUCCUACGGGAGGCAGCAGUAGGGAAUCUUCCGCAAUGGGCGAAAGCCUGACGGAGCAACGCCGCGUGAGUGAUGAAGGUCUUCGGAUCGUAAAACUCUGUUAUUAGGGAAGAACAUAUGUGUAAGUAACUGUGCACAUCUUGACGGUACCUAAUCAGAAAGCCACGGCUAACUACCUGCCAGCAGCCGCGGUAAUACGUAGGUGGCAAGCGUUAUCCGGAAUUAUUGGGCGUAAAGCGCGCGUAAGGCGGUUUUUUAAGUCUGAUGUGAAAGCCUCGGCU
rnacentral:rRNA from 1 species